rnacentral:rRNA from 1 species
AUUGAACGCUGGCGGCAGGCCUAACACAUGCAAGUCGGGCGAGUGGCGGACGGGUGAGUAAUGUAUGGGGAUCUGCCUGAUGGAGGGGGAUAACUACUGGAAACGGUAGCUAAUACCGCAUACCAUCAGAUGACCCCAUAUGGGAUUAGCUAGUAGGUGGGGUAACGGCUUACCUAGGCGACGAUCCCUAGCUGGUCUGAGAGGAUGAUCAGCCACACUGGGACUGAGACACGGCCCAGACUCCUACGGGAGGCAGCAGUGGGGAAGAUUGCACAAUGGGCGCAAGCCUGAUGCAGCCAUGCCGCGUGUAUGAAGAAGGCCUUCGGGUUGUAAAGUACUUUCAGUCGGGAGGCGUUACCGGCAGAAGAAGCACCGGCUAACGCCGUGCCAGCAGCGGCGGUAAUAC